GGGGUUGAGGCCGACUGGGUUCGUGCCCAGCCACGGGGCGGCGGUUGGAGUGCCGCGUUCAGGCCUCGUGGCCAUCUUUUUCUUCUCGUUAUACUUACAAUAAUGGAAAAGUGCAGGAAGGACUUUUUAUGUGAUUCAUAAAUUCUCUCCAGUAUUGCUCUCCCUCUGGAUGUUGCAGAGUUCCAUGUCUGUCUUCAAGCAAAUCUCAUAAAUGGAAAGACAAAAUAUCACUUUGCUUUGUCUGCUGACCAUCAGGAGGAUUUUGAAGACAAGUACCAAGUAAGAAGCUGCGUUCCUGAGCAGAACUUUACACGAGGACUCCAUUAUAUGUUUUGGUUCUGCUGGCCCAGGAUGUUAUCUUACCACAAAGAGAUGAUACCCUGUCAAGAUACGCUCCAGUGCAGCAGACAGCACAAGAGCAGAAUGCAAUAAACGGACUCUACAAGGGGAAGCACUGGGUGGAUUUUGUUGUCCUCAUACCUAUGUUGAUAAGAGUCCUCUAGUGUUUGCCCUUCCAUGUGAUGCUGUGCCAGACAUCUCCGUUUGUGGACAUCAGCACCAGAUCCUGUUCUGUCCUGUGUCAGUUCUCCAGAUGCUGUUCCAAAUAUCAAAAAUAAGGAAGAAAGAAAAGAAGGACCAGUUUCAGCUGUCCUUUUGGAGGGAUGCGUGGUUCAGAACUUACCCACAAAGUGGAGAGAAAUUAGUUCUGUCUUUAAAAGGAAGAAAGAAUGCACCAAAAUUGUGCUUAACCAUAUGAUAAGGAGGCAAAGACUGAAAAAUUCCUGUCUUCAGGUGUUCUCAAAAGUCAGUUCUGAAAAAUGUAUAACUUCUUUCCACGGUCCGGUGGCACAGAGCAACUGUGAAUAAAUGAAAAAUGGGGCCAAAAUGCAAAGGAAUAUUGAUGGAUCCACCUCAGAGGAGCUUACUGCUGAAAACUGUUCUCAAUGAAUUGUUGAAAGAUUUCUGACAAGAGUCCCCUCGUGACUAUUUGUGCAAUACCCAGCGUAACAGGACAUGAACACGGAUUUGAAACUCUGAAAAUUAGAGGUUUAGGGCUGUUCACACCACUAUUAAACUGAGGUCUGAAGAUACCCAGCAUAUUAAAUCCAAGCAGGUUUGCAUUACAUCAAAUUCCACGCUACAGGCAGUGCUAUUCAGGCUUCUCUUCCUGACAGAAGUUUUCAUUUUAUGUUAGCACCUUUGGUGCCAUUUCCUUCCCACUUGCAGUGUAUUAGUGUCUGUCUUAUCACACCUUGCACAGAAACAACGACAAUAUGCUUCACGCUGGCAUGUUGAAUUAACCUUUUCAUCUCUCAUUACCAUCUUUCCCUUCUCACCUCAUGUGGUUUUGCUGCCUUGCCUUGUUUUUACAGUGCUUCUGAAAUCAGUGCCUUCCAUUUCAGAUCUGGGAAUUGUUCAAACUUUAUUCUUCUAUCUGUCUAAUUUAAAGUCUACUUUCUUAAAUUGAGAGGAAGUUUCACCAAAUAAUUCUAAAAUGUGAGCCUCCAGAAUUGGGCCUGUCAAGAUGGUAAUGUUUGAUUGUGCUUCAGCUGUAAACAGAUAAUUCAGAUCGAUGUGAAGUGCAGAAAGAUAAUACACUGUGUACAGCUUGCUAUUGUUGAACGACACAUGAAUAAUGCUCUGGGUUUGGGAUCAGUCAACUCUUCUGUUUUUAAUCAUUGAUUUUCUUUCACCCAUUUCAUAACUGAAUUGUUGAUGUAACCCUACCCCAUGUGAUGCAAGGUUCAGGGUUUCACAAUAAAUGAAAUGCCAUCUGAACCAGCAUGAAAUAUCCACACAGUGUAAUCUAAGGUGUCCACAGAAGUUGGAAGAGGAUGCAGCCAAUGGGGCCUCCGGGGAGUAAUUAAUUCUCAGCAAAAAGUUCUAAUUCUGCCUCUGGUUUCUUUUUGCUUGCCUGUAGAAAAUUCAUAUUUUGUUUCAGCUGUGAGGAUGGAUCAUGCAACGAGUGGGAAAGCAGGAGGUCUGGCUCGGUUCCACGAUCCCUGAGCUGAGCCCUCCCCUUUGUUUUCACCAGGAAGGGUCACAAAGGAACGCUAGGUGAGCUGACCCUGUCAUACAGGCAAGGAAACAUUCCCAAGAAUUUUCUUCAUCAGAAUUCUAAGCAGCAUUUGAGCACUGACCGUCCUUUAAAACAAACAGUAACGUCUCGUCUGAUGGCUGUACCUGGAGAUUCCACCAUUUCUCAGUUAAAUGCUUCACCCAGGAUGAGAGCAGAACCCACACACAACCAAGGGGCACAAUCUGUCUGCGUUCCCAGAAUUAAAUUCAGGUUGUCUUUGAAACUGGUGUUCUUCCUGCUUAUUGGGAAUGAUCCUGGGCCUGUUUGAGCUGCCUUGUUCCUUGGAAUGGCUUUGGGCCUUGCUAGUUUGUCCAGCCUAAAACCUAAAACUGUGGAUUUAAUAAGGUGAACAGACAAAUCCCAGCACCUCCCCUGUGGUCUGGCAUUGUUUAAUUUACAGAUGUAACAAUUUUGUGCGCACUACUCUGAGUUAAUUGACAGAAUGCUCACACUACAGGGCACAUUUCUCAGACAUCGUAUCUGUCUCUCUUUUUAGCUUUUCUGAUAAAAGAACUUCAUUUUAUAUCAGUGUGUAUACUUUCUUAGCCUUAGUCUUAACCAAUACUUUCUUAUACUCCCGAGGCUCAGGAAGCAUUGCAGCAAACAGCCACAUUCAGCUGCUAACCUGUUGCUGUUAGGCACUGCAAUGGCUGCCCAGGGAGGUGGUGGAAUUGCUGUCCAUGGCAGUGAUAAAGAGGCUGGAUGAGGAGCUGCGA